AGGACGAACGCUGGCGGCGUGCCUAACACAUGCAAGUCGAACGAGGUCCAUCCGGUAGCAAUACUGGUGAAGAUCAAGUGGCGAACGGGUGAGUAGCACGUGAGCAACCUGCCCCGAAGACCGGGACAACACCGGGAAACCGGUGCUAAUACCGGAUGUCCCCACCGAGUCGCAUGGCUUGGUGAGGAAAUGGAUUCCGCUUCGGGAGGGGCUCGUGGCCUAUCAGCUUGUUGGUGAGGUAACGGCUCACCAAGGCUUCGACGGGUAGCUGGUCUGAGAGGACGAUCAGCCACACUGGGACUGAGACACGGCCCAGACUCCUACGGGAGGCAGCAGUGGGGAAUCUUGCACAAUGGGCGAAAGCCUGAUGCAGCAACGCCGCGUGAGGGACGAAGGCUUUCUGAGUUGUAAACCUCUUUCAGCAGGGACGAUUGUGACGGUACCUGCAGAAGAGCCCGGCAACGUACGUGCCAGCAGCCGCGGUAA
rnacentral:rRNA from 1 species